AGAGCUUGAUGUUGCCUGAACCUGCUGGCGUGCUCCCACGAGAGCACAGCGAGCCUGUGAGUGGGGCAGACAGGACGGCUGGCGCAGCAACAGAGUUUCUGCCUGCUGUCCCGAGCUUUGUGCGUGCUGUCCGUGGGGUAGCUGCUGUUCUCGUAGGGCUGGGCGCGGUUCCUCAUGCCGUCAGCGCUUGUGGCUCGGUGGGCCCUGGCACCACCGCAGUGAAGAGCAGUGAGUUGGCAGCGGAGGGCCCGUCUUUAUGCUUCUCUCUCCCCCUCUCCUCCCUGUUCAGAUCAACGGUGCUCUGGCCUCCCUGCCUGCUUCUCCAGCCCCCGGUGUGACCAUUUCUCUGAGUGGCUCCUACGUGCAGGUCUCUACCAAGCUGGGCCUGCAGGUGCAGUUCAACGGGGACCAUGAGCUCCUUGUGAGGGUGUCCGAGAAGCACCAGGGCAAGCUGUGUGGGUUGUGUGGAACAUACACCGGGAGACAAGAGGACGACUUCACACGACCCGAUGGGGUCGUUGUGCCUGACACCAAUGACUUUGGAAACAGCUGGAGGGUGCCGGAUGACGAGUGGCCGUGAGUCCUUGUUGUGUCGCGUAGAUGACGGACAAAGGGGAGCAUGAGAGAGGGGAGCUGUGAGCAGCGCGAGGAAGGAGGGUUGGUAGUGUUAGUCACGCACGGGGCAGGUAGCAGGAGGCAGUUGUGGGAAAGCGUGAGGGAGCGUAUGGAGGCUCCACAGCAGCAGGCACACGGCUCUUGCAUCUCGCUUCUGUGCUGCAUCCACCCGUGGGAUGUGCUGUCUGCAGCUGGAUUCCUGACGUGUGGCUGUUCCCCUUUGUCCUCAAGGCUGGCUUGCUAGUGGCAGUGCCCAGGCCGCACCACACGAUCAGGGUGCAUGGUGCUGUCUCCCCGGAGGCUCUGUGCCCUGGGGCCCUGGGUGACCUCCAUGCCGGGCCCUGUGUCCUACUCCACACACUGCAUGUCGCUGCUCCUGACCCCAGAGAGGGUGGGCCGGGGCAUGAGCACGGUGCUAUUGCCAAGCUGGUGUGGUCACAGGUGCCUCAGCUGCCUGCUUCUGUGUCUCUGACGUCUGUCUGCUUUGCAGGUGUGACACAAUCCCCGUACCACCUCCAUCCUGCUCCCCCUCUGCGGAGGAGGCAGCUAACAAGGAGUGUGCAAUCCUCACGCAACCCGGUGGCCCGUUCCAGCCAUGCCACGCAGUUCUGCCACCCGAGACGUACUUUGAGAGCUGUGUCUAUGACCAUUGUGCCACGAAUGGCAGCACAGAGCAGCUCUGCAACGCCCUGGGUGCCUAUGCUGCAGCCUGUGCUGAGGCAGGUGUUGCUCUGGGAGACUGGAGUGCUGGCACUGUCUGUGCUUUCAAAACAGCCUGCAAUUUCAACUGCACAUUUGACGUCGACCUCUGUGAGUGGGUCCAGGAGGCGUCCAGCAGCAUCGACUGGACAAGGCACAAGGGGCCAACACCAUCGCCAGAUACCGGCCCUUCCUUCGACCACACAACAGGAGACGGCUACUACAUCUACCUGCAUGGAAGCUCCUAUUACGAAUACUUGGUGUCUCAGCUGGUCAGCCCGGUGUGCAACUCAACGGGACCGCACUGCUUCCGCUUCUGGUACCACAUGUACGGCGUGGCUGAAGAAAUGGCCCUGCGGGUGUACGUGA
rnacentral:lncRNA from 1 species